ensembl:lncRNA
GGCCUUCUCUAUUGUUGCUCCUAAUCUGUGGAACAAUCUUUCCCAGCACAUUAGAGAGGCCCCUUCACUGUCCACUUUUAAAACACGUCUUAAAACCCAUUUUUACUCUUUGGCUUAUGACUAUUCAUUCCACCUCAUUCAUUUCUGUAUUUUAUGCAUAUAGGUUUAGAUUCGUUAUUUAUAGUUGGUUUACACAGCUUUGUGUGUGUAUGUGUAAUGUGUAUAUAUAGACACGUGUGUGUGUGUGUGUGUGUGUGUGUGUGUGUGUGUGUGUGUGUGUGUGAUUUACAUUGCUGUGCUUGAGAGCCACCAUCUACGGGAACCAAAUUCCCUGUAUGUGUCUGCACAUACUGUAUACUUGGCCAAUAAACACGAUUCUGAUUCUGAUGACACAGUCUGACCCUGAUUUUAUUGUUUUAAUCUAAUGUGCUGAUUUUAUUGUUUUAAAUGUGUUUUUUUAAAAUAUAUAUAUUUUACUUAUCUUAUAUUAUUAUUACUAUUUUUUCUCAUUUGUUUUUAACAUGCUCAAUGUAUCAUGUUUGGCAUGUCAACUGAUGGCUGAUCUGAAAGCGCUAUAUAAAUAAAUUGCUUGCUUGCUUGCUCCAAAUCCAGUCUGGUUAGGCCUGCAGGGUUUGUAGUAAGUGCUUUUUAUCUAAAUAAAUUAUUUCCCUUUCAUCGUGUGCAGCACUGAAGCAAAGCGGGUGAUUUCUUUCUGUUUUUGAUGAGACUUGGUUUCUGUGCUUUUUUUCCUUGGUUUGUUUUAACUUCUGCUUUGCUUGAUUUGGGUUUUCUCUUUUUUGCCGCCCAUUUGCUGUCCACUUGGAACAUGGUUUCUUGUCCUGCUGUUGAGGAACAGCUGGAAAAUUCAUUAGAGAUGCAACAGAAAUGAAGACUCGAUUGCUGAACUUUCCAUUUCUUUCCAUCUUUUCCAUUGGCCAAACUCAUGUCUGAGUCAUGCUUUUAACUCUAGAUCAGGAAUGAAUGUGGAGAAAGCAUCUCAGCAGAAGUCAGAGGGCAUGGUUCGCUGAGACGAGAUGUUGGCACAACAUCAGAUUACACACAAAAGGUCCAAAUCUAAUUUAGUGGCUGCAGAUAAAAUGUGACUCAGAC